UGGAUGCCCUGGCAGUCAGAGGCGAUGAAGGACGUGCUAAUCUGCGAUAAGCGCCGGUAAGGUGAUAUGAACCGUUAUAACCGGCGAUUUCCGAAUGGGGAAACCCAGUGUGACUCGUCACACUAUCAUUAACUGAAUCCAUAGGUUAAUGAGGCGAACCGGGGGAACUGAAACAUCUAAGUACCCCGAGGAAAAGAAAUCAACCGAGAUUCCCCCAGUAGCGGCGAGCGAACGGGGAGGAGCCCAGAGCCUGAAUCAGCAUGUGUGUUAGUGGAAGCGUCUGGAAAGGCGCGCGAUACAGGGUGACAGCCCCGUACACAAAAGCGCAUGUGCUGUGAGCUCGAUGAGUAGGGCGGGACACGUGGUAUCCUGUCUGAAUAUGGGGGGACCAUCCUCCAAGGCUAAAUACUCCUGACUGACCGAUAGUGAACCAGUACCGUGAGGGAAAGGCGAAAAGAACCCCGGCGAGGGGAGUGAAAAAGAACCUGAAACCGU
rnacentral:rRNA from 3 species